rnacentral:tRNA from 1 species
UCUAAUAUGGCAGAUUAGUGCAUUGGACUUAAACCCCAAAUAUAAAUUUAUUUUAUUAGAA